rnacentral:misc_RNA from 1 species
GAUGAAGAACGCAGCGAAAUGCGAUAAGUAGUGUGAAUUGCAGAAUUCAGUGAAUCAUCGAAUCUUUGUACGCACAUUGCGCCUUCUAGUAUUCUGGGAGGCAUGCCUGUUUGAGCGUCAUUAAACCUCUCUCAAGUAUGAUUACUUGGAUGUGAAGGAAGAGUACCUUAAACUUAAGGAGUGUUCUCCUUUGAAAUUGAUUAGCAGAUGGUAAUGUUAUUAAAUCCCUGAUGUUGUAAGAAAUAACAGUGGUUUUGUAGACUAUUAUCUAGCUUUAAAUUAUAAUUUUUAUUAUGGUUGACCUCAAAUCAGGUAAGGAUACCCGCUGAACUUAAGCAUAUCAAUAAGCGGAGGA